CAUACCCACAUUUAAAAGGGCACAGGGCCAAAAUAUAUACACAAUAUUAUAUGUUAUAUGUUGAAAAUAGUUUGGUCUAUAUUGAGGUCAUGAAAAUAAUACAAUAAGUUAGCACGCGAAUUAAUUUAAUUGCUGACCACUGUUUUUGGGUUGUACGCAUAAUACCGCUGGUUCAACGGUUUUACCGUGUUUGAACGACAGAGACGAGGAAGAUACGAUAUCUAUGACUUCGUUGGAUCCGAAGUCUAAAGAAUGGAUUGUGAAAUCAGCACAAUGUGAUUAUCAAGCUUUAGCAAAAAUGGCUUCGGACAAUCCAAAAAUUGUAAAAUUCAAGG